UACGUAGGUGGCGAGCGUUGUCCGGAUUUAUUGAGUUUAAAGGGUGCGUAGGCGUCCCUGCAAGUUUUAGGUGAAAUGCUCAAGCUCAACUUGGGAGCUGCCUGAAAAACUGCCGGGAUUGAGUACAGAUGAGGUAGGCGGAAUUGACGGUGUAGCGGUGAAAUGCAUAGAUAUCGUCAGGAACACCGAUAGCAAAGGCAGCUUACUAAGUUGUAACUGACGCUGAGGCACGAAAGUGUGGGGAUCGAACAGG
rnacentral:rRNA from 1 species